UCCCUGGUGGUCCAAUGGUUAGGACUUGGUGCUGUCACUGCUGAGGACCCUGGUUCAAAUCCUGGUCAGGGAA